rnacentral:lncRNA from 1 species
ACAAACUUAUUCUGUAGGUGGGGUAUGUUUAGGUUCCUUAUUCUGCUGCUUUGGGAACAUCUUUGGACCAUGUUUGAUGACAGAGCCAUUGAUAGUUCUGCUCCAAACCAACACACAGUACGGAUAGCUUCAAAGAAUUGUCAGAAGACAAUGUUGAAAAAGGGAGUUCCGCCUUAAGGAAGGAUAUUUUAUUCCCAGGAGUGAACUAACAGGUAAAAUCCCCCCCCACCCCCGUUCUUCUCUCCUGUUCUCUAUCUUUCUCUCUCUCUCC